UGCCCAAUAUGCCCUUAAAGGUUUUGAAACU
rnacentral:piRNA from 1 species